CUUGCCAUUUGUUUCUCCUGCCACCAAAACGUUCGACCCUGUUCUACUCCCUUCAUCUUCGAAUAGCUGGAAGUGGCAUUUCAGUUUCAACUUUUGUUGGUGCUUUCACUCGCUUUUGUGGUUUCACAUCCAGUCUAGGAUUGAUCUUUUUUAUAGUCAUCAAUACAAAAACAAAAAAAUAUAGUUGGUGUUUCCCCCCUUUCGAUUCCUGUUCUCCCACAUAUAAAAAAUAGUCUUUGUUUCUAGUGAUCAACAAAAAAAACCAGAAAUAUAUGUGCUUGUUCCAUUUUUAAUCCCAUUUUUCUUGUCAUUGUUACAAGAGAAAACAAAAAAUCUAUUCUUGGUUUCCCUGUUCAUUGUUUUCCUUUCACAUAUACAAAUAUUCUUUGUUUCUAGUGAUCAAUACAAAAAAAUGAUUGCAUGCUCUACUUCGCCUUUGCUCUUCCACAUCUACACUACAAUCCCCUUUCCCAGUGAUAAACAUUGAUAAAAUAUCAUUUGUGUUUCCCUUUACCAUUGUGUUUCCCUUUACCAUUAUUUCUCAGAUCUGCAAAUACCCAUUUUAUACAGCUCUAGUUUCCAAUUAAGAAAAAUUAUACAAAAACAAAAUUCAUUGGCUUUCCAUCAUUGCCAUUGUGUUAUUCUCAUAUCCAGACUUUGUCCUCUUUUCUCUGGAUAAAUACUGAAAACACAAAACUCAAAAGUGGUUUCAGCUCUCUAGCAAAUACACCGAAAGAUUGUUGGCUUGUCCCACUACCGAGAUAUUUAAAGUAAACCUGGUUGAUCAGACCAUCUCUUGACAUCAAUAUUACGGUGCCUAAUUCAACCACCAGGACCAUACAAGGAAGCUAGCCUGCAACUUUUAAGCAGAAACGUGGACAAUUAAUAUUUAUUUGGCCGCCUACAGUUUAAGUAUUGCUAAUCUAAGAAUCUACGUGACAUUAUCUUAUACAAAGUUAUCCCCAGUCCAGGUUUCUUAGUCGCUGAGAGGAAUCAGUUCCGAAAAAAACAACAAAAAGAUCACUGGCUUUUCCCAAUAUUGAGAUUUUUUAAGUAAUAUAGUUGAUCAGAUCAAUCAUCUCUUGACAUACAGUGUCCCAUUCUACCAGCAGGACUGUAAAAGGAAAUUAGUGUGCGGCUGCCAAGCCAAAUCAAAGAGAAUUAAUUUUGCACACUUCAUUUGAAGUGUGGCUGGAUAUUGUUUCCUGGUGAUCUAGAAGGCAAGAUCUCAAAGGUCAAUUUGUGCAAACUAGCAAGUCUGGUACACUACUGAACAUAAGUCAUGCAUCAUCUUCAUGGAAAAAAUGGCCAGAUCAUGUCCGGGAUAAAUGGCGUGAUGAUCUGAGAGAUAUAGAUUUUUGGUUUAAUGCAUACCGUGAGACGAAAGCAUAUAUGCAGUUGGACGCUGAUAUGGCCCGCUUUUAUCUCGUGGGUUGGAAUGUUGGGGUGGGGCCCAUGGCUUCAUACACACGAGCCAUAUCAGGUCUGGCCGAGGAGACAAUCCUUAUACAC